rnacentral:rRNA from 1 species
UACGUAGGGGGCAAGCGUUGUCCGGAUUUACUGGGCGUAAAGCGCGUGUAGGUGGGAGUGCAAGUCCGGUGGGAAAGCCCGCGGCUCAACCGCGGAAGGUCGCUGGAAACUGUGCUUCUUGAGGGUGAUAGAGGGAAGUGGAAUUGCUGGUGUAGCGGUGAAAUGCGUAGAUAUCAGGAGGAACACCUGCGGUGUAGACGGCUUUCUGGACCAUUGUUGACGCUGAGACACGAAAGCGUGGGUAGCAAACAGG